rnacentral:rRNA from 1 species
UGCAGUCGACGGCAGCACAGGAGAGCUUGCUCUCUGGGUGGCGAGUGGCGGACGGGUGAGGAAUACAUCGGAAUCUACUUUUUCGUGGGGGAUAACGUAGGGAAACUUACGCUAAUACCGCAUACGACCUACGGGUGAAAGCAGGGGAUCUUCGGACCUUGCGCGAUUGAAUGAGCCGAUGUCGGAUUAGCUAGUUGGCGGGGUAAAGGCCCACCAAGGCGACGAUCCGUAGCUGGUCUGAGAGGAUGAUCAGCCACACUGGAACUGAGACACGGUCCAGACUCCUACGGGAGGCAGCAGUGGGGAAUAUUGGACAAUGGGCGCAAGCCUGAUCCAGCCAUACCGCGUGGGUGAAGAAGGCCUUCGGGUUGUAAAGCCCUUUUGUUGGGAAAGAAAUCCAGCUGGCUAAUACCCGGUUGGGAUGACGGUACCCAAAGAAUAAGCACCGGCUAACUUCGUGCCAGCAGCCGCGGUAAUACGAAGGGUGCAAGCGUUACUCGGAAUUACUGGGCGUAAAGCGUGCGUAGGUGGUCGUUUAAGUCCGUUGUGAAAGCCCUGGGCUCAACCUGGGAACUGCAGUGGAUACUGGGCGACUAGAGUGUGGUAGAGGGUAGCGGAAUUCCUGGUGUAGCAGUGAAAUGCGUAGAGAUCAGGAGGAACAUCCAUGGCGAAGGCAGCUACCUGGACCAACACUGACACUGAGGCACGAAAGCGUGGGGAGCAAACAGGAUUAGAUAC